rnacentral:lncRNA from 1 species
AAAAUACAUGCUUUAUAUGUAUUUGUGUGUGUGUUUCCUUCUAGUGGAAGAAGGUUGGAUUUUGUUGUGAAUCCGUGGUCGAUCGAAAUGAAUCGAAAGUGUAGCUUUGUUGUCUCGGAGGUGCUGAUCGCACUGGUGCAAUCCGUUCGCAAAUCUGACGGACGGAUCUGCGGAGAUCGCACGUUGAUUGAGGAGAGGUCGGUGUUGGAUAAUGGGUAAUUUCGCAAAGUUGCGAUAUUUUAUGUGUCGUUUCGCGAGAUUUCGGACGACGAGGUACGUAUGCACAAAAUUCACGCGCUAUGAAGGUCUCAGUAUGAAAUACUGACUUUGGGAGGACUUUUGUGCAAAAUGCCAUUUGCAUAAAAGUGGUCACUUAGGGUUUCCCCAUGGAAACCCUAACCCUAGGCCUCCCUCUUCCUCCAACUGCGCCCCAGCCGUCGCAGCACCUCUCCAACCCUCGCCGGGCGCACCCCGGCCACCGGCGGGUGAUUCCGGCCGCCGAAAAGGGGCCGGGAUUGCUUUCCCCUCCACUUUGUAUCCUCCAUCUCGGCCGGAAACCAUCUUCGGACCGUCCAGCCUCGGACUCUCUCUCUCGGCCGUGACUCAACCACCAGCAACUCCCCUGCCGAUCACCGCCGCCGUCGCGCGUCGCCGUCGCUGCCAAGGCACUGCUCGGCCAAGCUUGGUCAGCCCGGGCCGAGCCCGAGCUUGUUCCAGACCCGCGUGCUACCUCCGCCUCUGGGAUGGCCGCGCCUCUCUCCUUGGACUCCGGCGACCCAUCUUCGCCGUGGCCGCAGUCCCCGCGGGCCGCCGGUGGCCGCCCCUGCUCCCUGCGGCCGUCCCGUGCAGAGUUGGGCGAGCCGAGGUGGUUUGGUCUCCGCGCUGCGCCGCCGCCUCCUUGCGCCGGCCGAGCCCCCUUCCUCUGGCAUCCCGUGGACCAACGUUGUUGCCGGAGCUUCCCCUAGCCGUCGCUGUGGCCGCCGUCGCUCCCUGUGCCCGAGCCGAGCCCAUGCGGGCUCAGGAUGCUCCAGCGCCGCCGCGGCCGCCUCUCGCCGCCGGCCGGCGUGAGCACCAACUCCGCCUGGCCGGCCGUGCCCGUCAACCGCCGGAGACGCUGCCGCCGGAGCUCGCUGUCCGCCGGAAUGAGCCCAUGCUCUCCUCGGGUUAGGUGACUAGGGCAUCAAUGCCCGCCGUCAUCGCUGCCUCCCGUCGCCUGACGACGCGAGCCCCGGCCUCCUCUGACCUGGUGUACCUUCCCCUGGCCGGCCUGCCCGCUGUCCGGCCGCCGCCGGCCACCCCGAGCCCUGCCUAGCUCCGGUAAGGCUGUUUUUAGAUUCCAGCACAGUAGCUUAGCUUUCCGGCCACCUUCCCGGUGAUCCGACGACUCCCCGACACCCCAGGAGGUGAGCACGGUGAUCGUGGGUUCGUGCUGAACACGAUGCUCACCUCUGUGAGGGUUAGGGAUGCCCUGGUUAGCGGGUUUAGGUAGAUUUUCAUGCUGUGCGCGCUUGUUCGCUGAACGUCGUGCCGCUCGUGCGCGCGCUGUUGCGGCCGGCAGUGCUCCGAAAGGUGAGCACGGCCUCAGGCAUGCUGAAAUCUAGCAGCAGGUGUGAUGUCACCCUUCGUUGAUCCCUGGUUUGCUUGUACGACUAGUCGGAGCCAUGAAAUCACAUAAAAUGAUGUGAUUUCAUGUGUCGUUAGGGACUUGUAUGCCGUUCGCUUUGUUGUAGCUGUUGUUGGCGGCAGGUCAGGGCUGGGGACAACCUCUGGACUGAUUGUCCAAGGCCCCAGACCCUUGCGAAGAUCGGAAAUGCAUUUCCGGUGCGUUUUUCGGCGAAAUCCGCCGACGGAACGCGGGUUCGGUUCGGAAUUAUUCCGACGAUGCUUUGUGAGCUAUUGUGUAGUCGCUGAGCCUUGUUGGCGGGUCACCAUCAUCACAUUGUGGGUUCGGUGAUGAUGGGUGAGCGACGGUGGGUUCCAGUGUCGAAAUAGACACUUCCGGGAACCCGAAUUCGCACAAUUAUCCGGCGAUAAUUGUGUAGGGGUGUUAUCUUGUGUUUACUACCCAAACAUCCAAAUUGGAGUGUUUUGGGGCAGCAGGUGACUCGUGGCACGAGUCGGUGAGUUCGGGACACUUAGUGGGUCCCGACGGCGUCCCGGUGUGGUUUUCGGGACUUCCGGUGAGUUACGAUGAUCGGUUUUGGGAAACCGAUACGGGGUUCUGUGUGGGGUUUGUGAGACAGUGUACUUCAGGUGAGUGGGUUGGUUACUGACCCGUGGGAUCUUCGUAGGUCCGGUCGACUUGUGCGUACCCAGUGUUCCGACGCGACAGUGACAGGUGGGUACUUCGAUCCGAAGUCGGUACAGUGGUGCACGCUCGGUGAUAUUCUUCUAUCCCUGUUCUUCUGUUGCUAUUUUCGUAUUAUAUAUUGAGCUUGCAUCCCCGUUGUUUCUAUUAUACUCUACUCAUAUGUUUCUAUGCCUAGUAUCAUGUGUAGGAGUAGAGUAGUUUAUCCAUAUGUGAUAUCGGUGACCUGAUUGGUCGGUUCUCGUACUUUGUUCCGGUGACCUAAUUGGUCGGUUCUCGUACUUCGUUUCGGUGACCUAGUUGAUCGGUGCUUUUAUCUUAUAUCUGUUGACCUGGUUGGUCGGUUGUUGCAUUAUGUAUUGGGUUGGUCUGUUUCUUGACUUCUGUUGUUCGAUGACCUUUGAGGUCGGUGUACCCUGAGGGGUAGGAUUGUCGGCUGGUGCUGACGGUAGUUCUGGACUAUAUCGAAUACACUCCUGUGACCUAUCGGUCGGUUCUUGCGUUCGUACUUUUAGUUGACAUCGAGCAGUAUCUACAUAUUAUCUUUAUUUACUCUGCCUGGUUGUUCUAUGUGUAGUAUCCUGUAUAGGGGUAGAGUAGAUGGCAUUCGUAUAUACUAUACUUGUGACCUGGUUGGUCGGUUCUCCUGUUUGCAUCGGUGACCUGUUUGGUCGUUCGUUACUUUCCGUAUAUUGACCUAUCUUGGUCGGUUCACGUUGUUACUUGAUGACCUACACGGUCGGUUAGCCCCGAGGGGCGGUGAUUGUCGGCUGAUUGCCGACGGUUGGCUAUUGAUCAUAUCCGCAUUGAUCGCCACAGCUCGAGUGCAUUUCACGUACACCAGCGGGUUGAUCCCCCGCAGGAGGGUGUUCUUUUCCGGAAAAGUGGUCGUACAUCCGACCCGUGAGCCCAGCGGUGUUCUCUUUGUGCUAGGGUUACAUGCCAGGUGUGAGCAGAUAGUGGCUUUUGCCUGAGGUCCUUAGACCGACACGGCGGUUUAGAUUGGGUACUUUUGGAC